rnacentral:rRNA from 2 species
GCUGGCGGCAGGCCUAACACAUGCAAGUCGAGCGGUAGAGAGAAGCUUGCUUCUCUUGAGAGCGGCGGACGGGUGAGUAAUGCCUAGGAAUCUGCCUGGUAGUGGGGGAUAACGUUCGGAAACGGACGCUAAUACCGCAUACGUCCUACGGGAGAAAGCAGGGGACCUUCGGGCCUUGCGCUAUCAGAUGAGCCUAGGUCGGAUUAGCUAGUUGGUGAGGUAAUGGCUCACCAAGGCGACGAUCCGUAACUGGUCUGAGAGGAUGAUCAGUCACACUGGAACUGAGACACGGUCCAGACUCCUACGGGAGGCAGCAGUGGGGAAUAUUGGACAAUGGGCGAAAGCCUGAUCCAGCCAUGCCGCGUGUGUGAAGAAGGUCUUCGGAUUGUAAAGCACUUUAAGUUGGGAGGAAGGGUUGUAGAUUAAUACUCUGCAAUUUUGACGUUACCGACAGAAUAAGCACCGGCUAACUCUGUGCCAGCAGCCGCGGUAAUACAGAGGGUGCAAGCGUUAAUCGGAAUUACUGGGCGUAAAGCGCGCGUAGGUGGUUUGUUAAGUUGGAUGUGAAAUCCCCGGGCUCAACCUGGGAACUGCAUUCAAAACUGACUGACUAGAGUAUGGUAGAGGGUGGUGGAAUUUCCUGUGUAGCGGUGAAAUGCGUAGAUAUAGGAAGGAACACCAGUGGCGAAGGCGACCACCUGGACUAAUACUGACACUGAGGUGCGAAAGCGUGGGGAGCAAACAGGAUUAGAUACCCUGGUAGUCCACGCCGUAAACGAUGUCAACUAGCCGUUGGAAGCCUUGAGCUUUUAGUGGCGCAGCUAACGCA